ensembl:lncRNA
UUUGUUUGUAUUUUUAUUGGAGUUGUUUUGAAUAACUUGCCCAGACAAUGCAGUUGAAAAUGAGCCGGUUGGCUAAAACCGUCACUUUUACUGAAACGUUGAUUAACCUAGAGUCUAAAGCCAGGGGAGGGGGGGGUUCUACUAAGCUAUAAGGAAUUGUUUAAGAAGGUCAUACAAAGGAUCAAUUAGCUAUUGUAUUUUAUAUUUUAAGACCCCUUGAAGGAUUCCAGAAAUAUACGUAAAAAAACAUAUUUUGGGCCUUACUGCUAAUGGCCCAUACAAACACAUUGAAUAACAGAUUCACUAUAUGGAACAACAGAUAGUCUCCCCCAAAAUAAUCUAAAGGAAGUUUGUGUCUGUCAUAAAUCUGAGAGAUAUAAGAAAGAUCAGGAAACAUUUUUAUUUGAUUUUACAUGUACUUAACCAUUUUUUUUAGCACUAAACAGUCUCCAUAUAGACUUCCAUAAAUGUUUUCAACUGGUACCAGGGACCAUCAGAUGAGUCUUGUGAGGACAAUGGGCGUCUUAGAGCAAAACAACCUACAUGUAUGUAUUUGUGAGAUGUGGAAGUGUGACAUGGAUUGAGAUGCAUCUACAGAAAAUAAUUAUUGGGUAGGGUGACUGGGUUAUUGGGUAGGGUAACUAACUGGGUUAGUGGGUAGGGUAACAGGGUUAGUGGGUAGGGUAACUAACUGGGUUAGUGGGUAGGGUAACAGGGUUAGUGGGUAGGGUAACUAACUGGGUUAUUGGGUAGGGUAACUAACUGGGUUAGUGGGUAGGGUAACUAACUGGGUUAGUGGGUAGGGUAACUAACUGGGUUAUUGGGUAGGGUAACUAACUGGGUUAGUGGGUAGGGUAACUAACUGGGUUAGUGGGUAGGGUAACUAACUGGGUUAUUGGGUAGGGUGACUGGGUUAGUGGGUAGGGUAACUAACUGGGUUAGUGGGUAGGGUAACAGGGUUAGUGGGUAGGGUAACUAACUGGGUUAUUGGGUAGGGUAACUAACUGGGUUAGUGGGUAGGGUAACUAACUGGGUUAGUGGGUAGGGUAACUAACUGGGUUAUUGGGUAGGGUGACUGGGUUAGUGGGUAGGGUAACUAACUGGGUUAUUGGGGUAACUAACUGGGUUAUUGGGUAGGGUGACUGGGUUAGUGGGUAGGGUAACUAACUGGGUUAUUGGGGUAACUAACUGGGUUAUUGGGUAGGGUGACUGGGUUAUUGGGUAGGGUGACUGGGUUAGUGGGUAGGGUGACUGGGUUAUUGGGUAGGGUGACUGGGUUAUUGGGUAGGGUGACUGGGUUAGUGGGUAGGGUGAGAUUGAGUGUCUUCAGACUUUUUGACAAGAUGCAGACUGUUAGAAUCUAGAUUCAGGCUCAUGGAUUUCAAGAUUAAUCCAUGUCAACUGCAUAUCAACGUGAACCUAGCCCGUAGUAGGAAUGUGUUGGAGAGGGGUGUGAUCACAGAAAUACCAAGCUGAAACACACUGCAACACAGAGACAGUGAAACAGGACAGUGAAAGAGACCGAAGCAUUAGGCUCCCCAGUUAAAGAUGCCCUGUGCAGUACAUUUCAGGCUGAACCAUUCUCCCUUGGUCACAAUUUGUUUGGCACAUCGUAUUCCUAAUACUUUUAACACUCAGCCUUUAGAAUGAUUACGUUGUUAUGGGUACAGUAGGACAUCAGAGAGUUAUUAUUUUUCUUUUUGUGUACUUUAAUAACAAGACGUGUCUUUAUUUUGGUGAGGUCUUAAAACAUCUCAUAGCCUUUAUGUUCUAGAGACAGUGAGCCAACCACUGAACUGGAGAGCAACCUGCACACUGAAGACUAUGGCAGCGUCUGAAAUGGAGCCCUCUGCCCUAUAUAGUGCACUACUAUAGACCAGAGCCCUAUUCGCUAUAUAGUGCACUACUAUAGACCAGAGCCCUAUUCCCUAUAUAGUGCGCAACUUUUGACAUAGAGCUCUGGUCAAUAGUAGUGCGCUAUAUAGGGAAUAGGGUUCCAUUUGUUGCUUAGCUAAACCUACAAUAUCUCUUCAGGGUCUACAUUUUAUUUGGCAAGCCUCCAGUUAAAUUAAAAGCAGAGGAAGCUCCUCUUCUACCAUGUCUACAAGGAAUGGGGAUACUCCCAGAUCAGAGGAAGCUCCUCUUCUACCAUGUCUACAAGGAAUGGGGAUA